CCUUGACUUAGUUGCCAUCAUUAAGUUGGGCACUCUAAGGUGACUGCCGGUGACAAACCGGAGGAAGGUGGGGAUGACGUCAAAUCAUCAUGCCCCUUAUGACCUGGGCUACACACGUGCUACAAUGGACGGUACAAAGAGCUGCAAGACCGCGAGGUGGAGCUAAUCUCAUAAAACCGUUCUCAGUUCGGAUUGUAGGCUGCAACUCGCCUACAUGAAGCUGGAAUCGCUAGUAAUCGCGGAUCAGCAUGCCGCGGUGAAUACGUUCCCGGGCCUUGUACACACCGCCCGUCACACCACGAGAGUUUGUAACACCCGAAAUCAGUGG
rnacentral:rRNA from 1 species